CAUAGGUUAAUGAGGCGAACCGGGGGAACUGAAACAUCUAAGUACCCCGAGGAAAAGAAAUCAACCGAGAUUCCCCCAGUAGCGGCGAGCGAACGGGGAGGAGCCCAGAGCCUGAAUCAGUGUGUGUGUUAGUGGAAGCGUCUGGAAAGGCGCGCGAUACAGGGUGACAGCCCCGUACACAAAAAUGCACAUACUGUGAGCUCGAUGAGUAGGGCGGGACACGUGGUAUCCUGUCUGAAUAUGGGGGGACCAUCCUCCAAGGCUAAAUACUCCUGACUGACCGAUAGUGAACCAGUACCGUGAGGGAAAGGCGAAAAGAACCCCGGCGAGGGGAGUGAAAAAGAACCUGAAACCGUGUACGUACAAGCAGUGGGAGCCUCUUAAUGGGGUGACUGCGUACCUUUUGUAUAAUGGGUCAGCGACUUAUAUUCUGUAGCAAGGUUAACCGAAUAGGGGAGCCGAAGGGAAACCGAGUCUUAACUGGGCGUUAAGUUGCAGGGUAUAGACCCGAAACCCGGUGAUCUAGCCAUGGGCAGGUUGAAGGUUGGGUAACACUAACUGGAGGACCGAACCGACUAAUGUUGAAAAAUUAGCGGAUGACUUGUGGCUGGGGGUGAAAGGCCAAUCAAACCGGGAGAUAGCUGGUUCUCCCCGAAAGCUAUUUAGGUAGCGCCUCGUGAAUUCAUCUCCGGGGGUAGAGCACUGUUUCGGCAAGGGGGUCAUCCCGACUUACCAACCCGAUGCAAACUGCGAAUACCGGAGAAUGUUAUCACGGGAGACACACGGCGGGUGCUAACGUCCGUCGUGAAGAGGGAAACAACCCAGACCGCCAGCUAAGGUCCCAAAGUCAUGGUUAAGUGGGAAACGAUGUGGGAAGGCCCAGACAGCCAGGAUGUUGGCUUAGAAGCAGCCAUCAUUUAAAGAAAGCGUAAUAGCUCACUGGUCGAGUCGGCCUGCGCGGAAGAUGUAACGGGGCUAAACCAUGCACCGAAGCUGCGGCAGCGACGC
rnacentral:rRNA from 1 species